UGGGUUGAGGCCUGCUGGUUUGGGCUGCUAGCUGUUAACUAGUGUUUUGUGGGAUCGAGGCCUGCCAAUCUAG
rnacentral:tRNA from 1 species